AUAGCCCGGAGAUGGAUUCUGAGACACGAAUCCAGACCCUACGGGGUGCAGCAGGCGCGAAAACUUGGCAAUGCGAGCAAUCGUGACCAGGGAACUCCAAGUGGCUGGGGUAAUACCCAGUUUUUUCUUGACUCUUCAAAGGUCUUGGAAUAAGGGGUGGGUAAGGACGGUGCCAGCCGCCGCGGUAAUACCGGCGCCUCAAGUGGUAGUCGCUUUUAUUGGGCCUAAAACGUCCGUAGCCGGUCUGGUGCAUUCGUGGGUAAAUCAACCCGCUCAACGGGUUGAAUUCUGCGAGCACGGCCAGACUUGGGACCGGGAGAGGUGUGGGGUACUCUCAGGGUAGGGGUAAAAUCCUGUCAUCCUGAGAGGACCACCUGUUGCGAAGGCGCCACACUAGAACGGAUUCGACGGUCAGGGACGAAACCUAGGGGCACGAACCGGAUUAGAUACCCGGGUAGUCCUAGGUGUAAACGCUGUGGACUUGAUGUUGGGGGUGCUCCGAGCACUCUCAGUGUCGAAGCGAAGGUGAUAAGUCCACUGCCUGGGGAGUACGGUCGCAAGGCUGAAACUUAAAGGAAUUGGCGGGGGAGCACUGCAACCUGAGGAUUGUGCGGUUUAAUUGGACUCAACGCCGGGA
rnacentral:rRNA from 1 species